rnacentral:tRNA from 1 species
GCCCGGUUGGUCUAGUGGUAUGAUUGUCGCUUCGGGAGAAGUUCCCCCCAAUGAACAGAAAUCUUGGUAUGUGACAGGUCUCCGGUUCGAUCCCGGAAUCGGGCC